UACGUAGGGGGCAAGCGUUAUCCGGAUUUACUGGGUGUAAAGGGUGCGUAGGCGGUCGUGCAAGUCCGAAGUGAAAGGCGGGGGCUCAACUCCCGGACUGCUUUGGAAACUGUAUGACUAGAGUGCAGGAGGGGUAAGCGGAAUUCCUGGUGUAGCGGUGAAAUGCUUAGAUACCAGGAGGAACACCGGCGGCGAAGGCGACUUACUGGACUGUAACUGACGUUGAGGCACGAAAGCGUGGGGAGCAAAC
rnacentral:rRNA from 1 species